rnacentral:rRNA from 1 species
ACUGCAAGUCGAGCGGAAGAAGGGAGCUUGCUCCCGGAUGUUAGCGGCGGACGGGUGAGUAACACGUGGGUAACCUGCCUGUAAGACUGGGAUAACUCCGGGAAACCGGAGCUAAUACCGGAUAGUUCCUUGAACCGCAUGGUUCAAGGAUGAAAGACGGUUUCGGCUGUCACUUACAGAUGGACCCGCGGCGCAUUAGCUAGUUGGUGGGGUAAUGGCUCACCAAGGCGACGAUGCGUAGCCGACCUGAGAGGGUGAUCGGCCACACUGGGACUGAGACACGGCCCAGACUCCUACGGGAGGCAGCAGUAGGGAAUCUUCCGCAAUGGACGAAAGUCUGACGGAGCAACGCCGCGUGAGUGAUGAAGGUUUUCGGAUCGUAAAGCUCUGUUGUUAGGGAAGAACAAGUGCGAGAGUAACUGCUCGCACCUUGACGGUACCUAACCAGAAAGCCACGGCUAACUACGUGCCAGCAGCCGCGGUAAUACGUAGGUGGCAAGCGUUGUCCGGAAUUAUUGGGCGUAAAGGGCUCGCAGGCGGUUUCUUAAGUCUGAUGUGAAAGCCCCCGGCUCAACCGGGGGAGGGUUAUUGGAAACUGUGAAACUUGUCUGCUCA